UAGGGAAUCUUCUGCAAUGGGCGAAACCCUGACGGAGCAAUGCCGCGUGAGUGAUGAAGGUCUUCGGAUCGUAAACCUCUGUUAUUAGGGAAGAACAAAUGUGUAAGUAACUAUGCACGUCUCGACGGUACCUAAUCAGAAAGCCACGGCUAACUACGUGCCAGCAGCCGCGGUAAUACGUAGGUGGCAAGCGUUAUCCGGAAUUAUUGGGCGUAAAGCGCGCGUAGGCGGUUUUUUAAGUCUGAUGUGAAAGCCCACGGCUCAACCGUGGAGGUUCAUUUGAAACUGGAAAACUUGAGUGCAGAAGAGGAAAGUGGAAUUCCAUGUGUAGCGGUGAAAUGCGCAGAGGUAUGGAGGAACACCAGUGGCGAAGGCGACUUUCUGGUCUGUAACUGACGCUGAUGUGCGAAAGCGUGGGGAUCAAACAGG
rnacentral:rRNA from 1 species